AAAAAACAACUGUCAAUGUCAUUGUCAAUUUGAAAUUCAAAUCUUUCAAACUUUUACCGCGGCAAACUAAAGCAAAUUAAUUCUGCGACGAGCGUUUUAAAAUUUAAUUAGUAUUUUGUUUUAGCACUUUUAGCAUUCCAUAAUCCGUAGCCCUAAAUUAUACACUGUUUUGGAUUAUCUAGAAAAGAGACUUCAAGAUUCUAAUUCUAAACAAGUUUCAGAUGAGGACUUGUUAACUUUACAUUCAGUUUACGGUACUGUAUUACAACGUGCUUUGGACGUCUUGGAAAAACACCCUCAA